rnacentral:rRNA from 1 species
AUUGAACGCUGGCGGCAUGCCUUACACAUGCAAGUCGAACGGUAACGGGCCUUCGGGUGCCGACGAGUGGCGAACGGGGGAGUAAUACAUCGGAACGUGCCCGAUCGUGGGGGAUAACGAGGCGAAAGCUUUGCUAAUACCGCAUACGAUCUACGGAUGAAAGCAGGGGACCGCAAGGCCUUGCGCGGUCGUAGCGGCCGAUGGCAGUUUAGGUAGUUGGUGGGAUAAAAGCUUACCAAGCCGACGAUCUGUAGCUGGUCUGAGAGGAUGAUCAGCCACACUGGGACUGAGACACGGCCCAGACUCCUACGGGAGGCAGCAGUGGGGAAUUUUGGACAAUGGGCGCAAGCCUGAUCCAGCCAUGCCGCGUGCAGGAUGAAGGCCUUCGGGUUGUAAAAUGCUUUUGUACGGAACGAAAAGCGUUCUUUUAAUACAGGAGGGUCAUGACGGUACCGUAAGAAUAAGCACCGGCUAACUACGUG